CCUACGGGUGGCAGCAGUGAGGAAUAUUGGUCAAUGGCCGGGAGGCUGAACCAGCCAAGUCGCGUGAGGGAAGACGGCCCUACGGGUUGUAAACCUCUUUUGUCAGGGAGCAAGGUGCAGGUCGGGACCUGCUGUGAGAGUACCUGAAGAAAAAGCAUCGGCUAACUCCGUGCCAGCAGCCGCGGUAAUACGGAGGAUGCGAGCGUUAUCCGGAUUUAUUGGGUUUAAAGGGUGCGCAGGCGGAGGCACAAGUCAGCGGUAAAAUCGCGGGGCUCAACCCCGCUCCGCCGUUGAAACUGUGUCUCUGGAGUGCGCGAAGGGUAGGCGGAAUGCGUGGUGUAGCGGUGAAAUGCAUAGAUAUCACGCAGAACUCCGAUCGCGAAGGCGGCCUGCUGGGCUUUAACUGACGCUGAGGCUCGAAAGCGUGGGGAGCAAACAGGAUUAGAUACCCCAGUAGUC
rnacentral:rRNA from 1 species